rnacentral:rRNA from 1 species
GACGAACGCUGGCGGCGUGCUUAACACAUGCAAGUCGUACGGUAAGGCCCUUUCGGGGGUACACGAGUGGCGAACGGGUGAGUAACACGUGAGUAACCUGCCCACCACUUUGGGAUAACGCUAGGAAACUGGUGCUAAUACUGGAUAUGUGCUCCUGCUGCAUGGUGGGGGUUGGAAAGCUCCGGCGGUUGUGGAUGGACUCGCGGCCUAUCAGCCUGUUGGUGGGGUAGUGGCCUACCAAGGCGGCGACGGGUAGCCGGCCUGAGAGGGUGACCGGCCACAAUGGGGAUGGGGUACGGCCCAGACUCCUACGGGAGGCAGCAGGGGGGAAUAUUGCACAAUGGGCGCAAGCCUGAUGCAGCAACGCCGCGUGCGGGAUGACGGGCUUCGGGUUGUAAACCGCUUUCAGCAGGGACGAAGCUUUUUGUGACGGUACCUGCAGAAGAAGCACCGGCUAACUACGUG